rnacentral:rRNA from 1 species
GACGGAGGGGGCUAGCGUUGUUCGGAAUGACUGGGCGUAAAGAGCGCGUAGGCGGUUUAUUAAGUGAGGCGUGAAAGCCCUGGGCUUAACCUAGGAGGUGCGCUUCAUACUGGUAAGCUAGAGUACGAGAGAGGAAAGCGGAAUUCCUAGUGUAGAGGUGAAAUUCGUAGAUAUUAGGAAGAACACCAGUGGCGAAGGCGGCUUUCUGGCUCGUAACUGACGCUGAGGCGCGAAAGCGUGGGGAGCAAACAGG